AACGCACAUUGCGCCCUUUGGUGUUCCGAAGGGCAUGCCUGUUCGAGCGUCAUUAUCUCCCCUCAAGCCUCGGCUUGGUGUUGGACGGCUUGGUGGGACCGCCGGGCCUCACCCCUCCUAAAGACAAUGCGAUGGCCCGUGGACCCUCGGUACAAUGAGCUUUUUCCAAGGCACGUAUCGGUCAGGGAACGCGGGACACGGUCUUGAAUUUAUUCAUGUUAAAUACAAGGUUGACCUCGGAUCAGGUAGGAAUACCCGCUGAACUUAA
rnacentral:misc_RNA from 1 species